rnacentral:rRNA from 1 species
UACGUAGGGUGCGAGCGUUAAUCGGAAUUACUGGGCGUAAAGGGUGCGCAGGCGGCUGUGUAAGACCGGUGUGAAAUCCCCGGGCUCAACCUGGGAAUUGCGCUUGUGACUGGCGGGCUCGAGUACGGUAGAGGGGGGUGGAAUUCCUGGUGUAGCAGUGAAAUGCGUAGAGAUCAGGAGGAACACCGAUGGCGAAGGCAGCCCCCUGGGCCUGUACUGACGCUCAUGCACGAAAGCGUGGGGAGCAAACAGG